CAUUUGUUGGAUGUUCACUUGAAGGGAGUGUUGUCACCACUCGGUCGAAAGAGAAUUCCAGAUUCUAUGGGAGCCAGUCAAUAACUGCAUCUGAUAUACUUCUUGGCUCAUUACCAAGGCCACCUGCUGCAUCAAUUCUUUAUCGUGCACUUGCAGACCUAUCUCAGAAGCUUGAUAGGUGAUUCACUGGGGUUCAGUAUCAAUCUCACCUGUUAAUUGUUUGUACAUAAGGUUUCUUCACGACCAUUCUUUGCCCAAGUGGAAUUGAAAGUAUUGUAUUUACAUCC
rnacentral:misc_RNA from 1 species